rnacentral:rRNA from 1 species
UACGUAGGUCCCGAGCGUUAUCCGGAUUUAUUGGGCGUGAAGCGAGCGCAGGCGGUUAGAUAAGUCUGAAGUGAAAGGCUGUGGCUUAACCAUAGUAUGCUUUGGAAACUGUUUAACUUGAGUGCAGAAGGGGAGAGUGGAAUUCCAUGUGUAGCGGUGAAAUGCGUAGAUAUAUGGAGGAACACCGGUGGCGAAAGCGGCUCUCUGGUCUGUAACUGACGCUGAGGCGCGAAAGCCAGGGGAGCGAACGGG